UGAAAUAUUAUGCUUUAUUUAAGCUAUUCUUUUGUAAAGUGACAUGCAUAGCUAAAUCCCAACUACAUUAACUGUGUGUUGCUAAUUUACUAAGCAUCUCUUCGUCACAUUUCUGUUAGGUAUAUAGGUAUAUACUUUCCUAAGCACAUAACAGGAGACAAGCAAGCCAAUCUGUUUUGUGGCUCACUAUCUGUCAAAGUAAAUAUGACUAUGACAAACACAAUAUGCGCACACACACAUUACACAUAUAUGUUAAUUUUCUCAGGAUGUGGUUUUAAGGAAGGAAUAUUGACUGAACAGCUUCAUAUCUCUUGCAGGAGAACUCAGAUCCACCAUCUGAAGAUACCAUUCCAAGAAAAAGCAUUUGCAGAACGUUAACUACCAACUACCAAUUCCAAAUUUAAUUGUUCCUUUACCAUAUAACCUUAGCCCUCUAUAUCAGGGGAAGUCAACCUUUUAAUAUCUACCGCCCACUUUUGUAUCUUUGUUAAUGGUAACAUUUCCUUACCACUCACCAGUGUCGCAAUAACUAUUUUUAUAGCUCAAGUGCGAUUUUUAUUUUUCUUUCUUAGAAAGGAGUUUUUUUAAAUAUGUACUUAAAUGUAUCUAUUUCCCCCCCCCCUUUUUUUCUAUUUUCUAUUCUACUUUUUUUUCUGUGCGUCUGUGAAUUGCUGUGUGUGUGAAGGGUGCUGUGUGUGUAUAUGUGUGUGAUGGAUGCUGUGUGUGAAGGGUGCUGUGUGUGUGAUAAGGGCAGUGCGUGUGUGAGAAGGUCAGUGUGCGUGUGUGAGAAGGUCAGUGUGCGUGUGAGGGGGGCAAUGUGUGUAAGGGGGAAGUUUGUGUGUGUGCCUUGGUCCACGGCCAUCAAAGCCCACUUGGUGUUUUCUGCAGAACCCACUACCGGCCACCUGAAAACCCAAAAUACCCACUAGUGGGCGGUAGGGACCAGGUUGACUACCCUUGCUCUAUAUCAUAAACACUUUUUAAUGCCUAGAGGGAAGGGCAGUCCUUCAAGCCAUGGUUCCCCAGAGGUUUCCUCCACAGGGGGUUUUUCCUCUCCUCCGUGCUUAAGGAUGACUUUUUAUGAGUGCAG